rnacentral:rRNA from 1 species
GAUGAACGCUAGCUACAGGCUUAACACAUGCAAGUCGAGGGGCAGCAUGAAAGGAACUUCGGUUCUUUUUGAUGGCGACCGGCGCACGGGUGCGUAACGCGUAUCGAACCUGCCUCAUACUCGGGGAUAGCCUUGCGAAAGUAAGAUUAAUACCCGGCGGUCUCGGAUGGCCGCAUGACUGUCCGAGUGAAGAUUUAUCGGUAUGAGAUGGCGAUGCGUCCCAUUAGCUAGUUGGUGAGGUAACGGCUCACCAAGGCAUCGAUGGGUAGGGGUUCUGAGAGGAAGGUCCCCCACAUUGGAACUGAGACACGGUCCAAACUCCUACGGGAGGCAGCAGUGAGGAAUAUUGGUCAAUGGACGAAAGUCUGAACCAGCCAAGUAGCGUGCAGGACGACGGCCCUCUGGGUUGUAAACUGCUUUUAGUUGGGAAUAAAAAGAGGGACGUGUCCCUUAUUGUAUGUACCAUCAGAAAAAGGACCGGCUAAUUCCGUGCCAGCCGCCGCCGUAA